rnacentral:rRNA from 1 species
CCGACGGUGAGAGGUGAAAGCUGGGGGCACGAACCGGAUUAGAUACCCGGGUAGUCCCAGCCGUAAACGAUGCUAGCUAGGUGUCAGGCAUGGCGCGACCGUGUCUGGUGCCGCAGGGAAGCCGUGAAGCGAGCCACCUGGGAAGUACGGCCGCAAGGCUGAAACUUAAAGGAAUUGGCGGGGGAGCACAACAACGGGUGGAGCCUGCGGUUUAAUUGGACUCAACGCCGGACAACUCACCGGGGGCGACAGCAAUAUGUAGGCCAAGCUGAAGACUUUGCCUGAAUCGCUGAGAGGAGGUGCAUGGCCGUCGCCAGUUCGUACUG